rnacentral:rRNA from 1 species
GACGAACGCUGGCGGCGUGCCUAAUACAUGCAAGUCGAGCGCUGAAGGGUGGUACUUGUACCAACUGGAUGAGCAGCGAACGGGUGAGUAACGCGUGGGUAAUCUGCCUUUGAGCGGGGGAUAACAUUAGGAAACGAAUGCUAAUACCGCAUAAAAACUUGAAACACAAGGUUCAAGGUUGAAAGAUGCAAUUGCAUCACUCAAAGAUGAUCCCGCGUUUUAUUAGCUAGUUGGUGAGGUAAAGGCUCACCAAGGCGAUGAUACAUAGCUGAACUGAGAGGGUGGUCGGCCCCAUUUGGAAUGGGACACCGCCCCAACUCCUUCGGGGAGCCGCCGUAGGGGAUCUUCGGCCAUGGGCGGAAGUCUUGCCGCGCCACGCCGCGUUGGGUGAGAAGGUUUUCGGGUCGGAAAACUCUGUUGGUUGGGGAGAAAGUUGGUGAGAGUGAAACGCUCAUCUAGUGACGGUAACUACACAGAAAGCGACGGCUAACUACGUG